GAUGAACGCUGGCGGCGUGCCUAAUACAUGCAAGUCGAGCGAACAGACGAGGAGCUUGCUCCUCUGACGUUAGCGGCGGACGGGUGAGUAACACGUGGAUAACCUACCUAUAAGACUGGGAUAACUUCGGGAAACCGGAGCUAAUACCGGAUAAUAUAUUGAACCGCAUGGUUCAAUAGUGAAAGACGGUCUUGCUUUCACUUAUAGAUGGAUCCGCGCCGCAUUAGCUAGUUGGUAAGGUAACGGCUUACCAAGGCGACGAUGCGUAGCCGACCUGAGAGGGUGAUCGGCCACACUGGAACUGAGACACGGUCCAGACUCCUACGGGAGGCAGCAGUAGGGAAUCUUCCGCAAUGGGCGAAAGCCUGACGGAGCAACGCCGCGUGAGUGAUGAAGGUCUUCGGAUCGUAAAACUCUGUUAUUAGGGAAGAACAAAUGUGUAAGUAACUAUGCACGUCUUGACGGUACCUAAUCAGAAAGCCACGGCUAACUACAUG
rnacentral:rRNA from 1 species